UACAGAGGGGGCCAGCGUUAUUCGGAAUUAUUGGGCGUAAAGGGCGCGUAGGCGGCCAUGCGUGUCUUCCGUGAAAUCCCUCGGCUUAACCGAGGACGUGCGGAAGAAACUGCAAGGCUCGAGUCCGGAAGAGGGGGGCGGAAUUCCCAGUGUAGCGGUGAAAUGCGUAGAUAUUGGGAGGAACACCAGUGGCGAAGGCGGCUUCCUGGACCGACACUGACGCUGAGGCGCGAAAGCUAGGGGAGCAAACGGG
rnacentral:rRNA from 1 species